rnacentral:lncRNA from 1 species
AUAAAAUAUUAACAUUGAGUGCACUAUCUAAUAAAACAGGUGGUGAUGAGCUCUGGCUUUGGAUAAGAAGGCUGUUUUUGCUGUCAGUGGGCACAGGAUAUGCAUCUCUCCUCCUGAAGCUGGAUCUAAAGCACAGUGCCAGAAUCACUCUGAUGUUGUCUUCACCAUAACUAUAGCAUAAGAGUAGUCAAUUUACUGCAAUCCUGCACACCACUUAAAUAAAUUUCAGAGGGGAUAAUUCCUUUUAAAUAGA